AAGUGCCUCUCAGAAAGAGAACUCAAAAUCUGUACACGGGGAUUCUGUACCUUCUUCAUUCAUAGCAUUUUAUUAUUAUUUUUUUAAUGAGAUGUUUUCGGAUCCUUGAGCCAACAGUAGAGUCUCUGUUAUAUUCUUGGACCAGGGUUCUGGGGACCGGAUGCCUAUGAAGCCAAGGCCUUCACAACAAAAUACCCACACCCCAGCCUCACCCUCACCUUCAACCGGUGCUUUUAUCAGCUCUUCUUUGCCAGGAGGAAACAAUUACAGGAAGAACGUUGCUCCUCCAAAGAGUCUCUACAGAGAACAGCUUGCAGCACCUGGAAGAAAAAUAGGCUCUGCUAAAGGAAUCUAUGUUAAGGGCACGGAACUAUGCACCUUAAAAUGUUGAACGUUACGUGGAGUUGAUGAAGCCCAAGCUGAUUUUACGUAAAGGAUGCUCGCAAAGAAUGGAUGCUAACAGGGCUCUGGAAGAUUCGUGAGGUGCCGCCCCCUGCAUGGCUGGGUCCCUGGGAUACAGUGUGGAGGUGUGGUGUUGGCAUUUUCCACGGCACUGAAGCCGAAAGUCUACAGAUCUUCUGAAGAGGACAGAGGGCUGACCAGAAAAGAGGGCUUAAGUUUACAGAUUCCUAUUCGAAGCCCACAGUCUUCCUGUAGAUGAAGGGAUUUAAAUAUACAGUGUGCAUGAGACAGGCCAUACUGUCCUGCGACCUCAAAAAUAAAUCCAGCCAUCUUCAACCUCCAAGAGAUAGCUUUGCAAGAUGAAACACUUCUGGGGAUGUUGUACAACAGCAUGCAUAUGCUUCAUUCACAAUAUUGAACUCUAUACUUGAAAAUGAUUAGGAUAAUAAAUUUUGCUAUUUUCAUUACAAUGAAACUUUAAAUAUUAAAAAUAAAAGUCUCUUGGAUGACCACUUUCAAUUUCAUUCACCUCCCUCGAGGUGCCAUCUGCUUAUUUAUUUGAUGCAACUAUUUUUCUAUGUGUUUACAUACACACUUACAUAAAUAAAAAGGAAUAAACAAUUUGUGUGGAUUUUUAAAUUUAACAUAUAUUACAUUGCAUGGCAUAUA